AGUGAACGCUGGCGGCAGGCCUAACACAUGCAAGUCGAACGGCAGCACAGGAGAGCUUGCUCUCUGGGUGGCGAGUGGCGGACGGGUGAGGAAUACAUCGGAAUCUACCUUUUCGUGGGGGAUAACGUAGGGAAACUUACGCUAAUACCGCAUACGACCUUAGGGUGAAAGCGGAGGACCUUCGGGCUACGCGCGGAUAGAUGAGCCGAUGUCGGAUUAGCUAGUUGGCGGGGUAAAGGCCCACCAAGGCGACGAUCCGUAGCUGGUCUGAGAGGAUGAUCAGCCACACUGGUACUGAGACACGGUCCAGACUCCUACGGGAGGCAGCAGUGGGGAAUAUUGGACAAUGGGCGCAAGCCUGAUCCAGCCAUGCCGCGUGGGUGAAGAAGGCCUUCGGGUUGUAAAGCCCUUUUGUUGGGAAAGAAAAGCAGCCGGUUAAUACCCGGUUGUUCUGACGGUACCCAAAGAAUAAGCACCGGCUAACUUCGUGCCAGCCGCCGCCGUAA
rnacentral:rRNA from 1 species